rnacentral:rRNA from 1 species
AGGGCGCACGGUGGAUGCCUUGGCACUAGAAGCCGAUGAAGGACGUUACUAACGACGAUAUGCUUUGGGGAGCUGUAAGUAAGCUUUGAUCCAGAGAUUUCCGAAUGGGGAAACCCAGCAUGAGUUAUGUCAUGUUAUCGAUAUGUGAAUACAUAGCAUAUCAGAAGGCACACCCGGAGAACUGAAACAUCUUAGUACCCGGAGGAAGAGAAAGAAAAUUCGAUUCCCUUAGUAGCGGCGAGCGAAACGGGAAGAGCCCAAACCAACAAGCUUGCUUGUUGGGGUUGUAGGACACUCUAUACGGAGUUACAAAGGACGACAUUAGACGAAUCAUCUGGAAAGAUGAAUCAAAGAAGGUAAUAAUCCUGUAGUCGAAAAUGUUGUCUCUCUUGAGUGGAUCCUGAGUACGACGGAGCACGUGAAAUUCCGUCGGAAUCUGGGAGGACCAUCUCCUAAGGCUAAAUACUCUCUAGUGACCGAUAGUGAACCAGUACCGUGAGGGAAAGGUGAAAAGCACCCCGGAAGGGGAGUGAAAUAGAACCUGAAACCGUGUGCUUACAAGUAGUCAGAGCCCGUUAAUGGGUGAUGGCGUGCCUUUUGUAGAAUGAACCGGCGAGUUACGAUUUGAUGCAAGGUUAAGCAGUAAAUGUGGAGCCGUAGCGAAAGCGAGUCUGAAUAGGGCGUUUAGUAUUUGGUCGUAGACCCGAAACCAGGUGAUCUACCCUUGGUCAGGUUGAAGUUCAGGUAACACUGAAUGGAGGACCGAACCGACUUACGUUGAAAAGUGAGCGGAUGAACUGAGGGUAGCGGAGAAAUUCCAAUCGAACCUGGAGAUAGCUGGUUCUCUCCGAAAUAGCUUUAGGGCUAGCCUCAAGUGAUGAUUAUUGGAGGUAGAGCACUGUUUGGACGAGGGGCCCCUCUCGGGUUACCGAAUUCAGACAAACUCCGAAUGCCAAUUAAUUUAACUUGGGAGUCAGAACAUGGGUGAUAAGGUCCGUGUUCGAAAGGGAAACAGCCCAGACCACCAGCUAAGGUCCCAAAAUAUAUGUUAAGUGGAAAAGGAUGUGGCGUUGCCCAGACAACUAGGAUGUUGGCUUAGAAGCAGCCAUCAUUUAAAGAGUGCGUAAUAGCUCACUAGUCGAGUGACACUGCGCCGAAAAUGUACCGGGGCUAAACAUAUUACCGAAGCUGUGGAUUGUCCUUUGGACAAUGGUAGGAGAGCGUUCUAAGGGCGUUGAAGCAUGAUCGUAAGGACAUGUGGAGCGCUUAGAAGUGAGAAUGCCGGUGUGAGUAGCGAAAGACGGGUGAGAAUCCCGUCCACCGAUUGACUAAGGUUUCCAGAGGAAGGCUCGUCCGCUCUGGGUUAGUCGGGUCCUAAGCUGAGGCCGACAGGCGUAGGCGAUGGAUAACAGGUUGAUAUUCCUGUACCACCUAUAAUCGUUUUAAUCGAUGGGGGGACGCAGUAGGAUAGGCGAAGCGUGCGAUUGGAUUGCACGUCUAAGCAGUAAGGCUGAGUAUUAGGCAAAUCCGGUACUCGUUAAGGCUGAGCUGUGAUGGGGAGAAGACAUUGUGUCUUCGAGUCGUUGAUUUCACACUGCCGAGAAAAGCCUCUAGAUAGAAAAUAGGUGCCCGUACCGCAAACCGACACAGGUAGUCAAGAUGAGAAUUCUAAGGUGAGCGAGCGAACUCUCGUUAAGGAACUCGGCAAAAUGACCCCGUAACUUCGGGAGAAGGGGUGCUCUUUAGGGUUAACGUCCAGAAGAGCCGCAGUGAAUAGGCCCAAGCGACUGUUUAUCAAAAACACAGGUCUCUGCUAAACCGUAAGGUGAUGUAUAGGGGCUGACGCCUGCCCGGUGCUGGAAGGUUAAGAGGAGUGGUUAGCUUCUGCGAAGCUACGAAUCGAAGCCCCAGUAAACGGCGGCCGUAACUAUAACGGUCCUAAGGUAGCGAAAUUCCUUGUCGGGUAAGUUCCGACCCGCACGAAAGGCGUAACGAUUUGGGCACUGUCUCAACGAGAGACUCGGUGAAAUCAUAGUACCUGUGAAGAUGCAGGUUACCCGCGACAGGACGGAAAGACCCCGUGGAGCUUUACUGUAGCCUGAUAUUGAAAUUCGGCACAGCUUGUACAGGAUAGGUAGGAGCCUUUGAAACGUGAGCGCUAGCUUACGUGGAGGCGCUGGUGGGAUACUACCCUAGCUGUGUUGGCUUUCUAACCCGCACCACUUAUCGUGGUGGGAGACAGUGUCAGGCGGGCAGUUUGACUGGGGCGGUCGCCUCCUAAAAGGUAACGGAGGCGCUCAAAGGUUCCCUCAGAAUGGUUGGAAAUCAUUCAUAGAGUGUAAAGGCAUAAGGGAGCUUGACUGCGAGACCUACAAGUCGAGCAGGGUCGAAAGACGGACUUAGUGAUCCGGUGGUUCCGCAUGGAAGGGCCAUCGCUCAACGGAUAAAAGCUACCCCGGGGAUAACAGGCUUAUCUCCCCCAAGAGUUCACAUCGACGGGGAGGUUUGGCACCUCGAUGUCGGCUCAUCGCAUCCUGGGGCUGUAGUCGGUCCCAAGGGUUGGGCUGUUCGCCCAUUAAAGCGGUACGCGAGCUGGGUUCAGAACGUCGUGAGACAGUUCGGUCCCUAUCCGUCGUGGGCGUAGGAAAUUUGAGAGGAGCUGUCCUUAGUACGAGAGGACCGGGAUGGACAUACCUCUGGUGUACCAGUUGUCGUGCCAACGGCAUAGCUGGGUAGCUAUGUGUGGACGGGAUAAGUGCUGAAAGCAUCUAAGCAUGAAGCCCCCCUCAAGAUGAGAUUUCCCAACUUCGGUUAU